CUCCGAUAGAUUAGGAGUUGCGAUUGAGUUCUCAAGAAGUAAAAACGUUUUUUUGCGUUAAUUCCUGUUCAAUUUGAGAGUUACUCAAUAAUUAUAUUGUUAUUAGUUAUUCAACAAUUUAAUAAACAAUUCAUUCAGUUAAAACCAGACUUUUAUAUAUUGGACAGGUUCACAAUUAGACGGUGGGAGCCGAAUAAAGUGCAUCAACGAGAUUUUCAUUAAAUUGUGUGUUACUGUUUUUUCAAUCCUAUUCUUACACCUUUUUCUUCAAUUAUCAGAGUACCUCGGUAAACAGGCUUAUGGUACUCCGGGAUGAUAAUGGUAAUGUGAAACAGGAAUAAAAAGUCUUUAGCAUUGGAUCGAGAAUCUGCGGUUCAGAAGGUAGGACACGUGGCCUUGCCACCCACGACUCAAAGACCAAAUGUCAUUCCAGUACUUUGGCUUGCGCCUUUUUCCAGUCAUUCACUCACGUGAUGAAUCAACAAUGCACAUGAAAAUUUUGACUCCAAAAAUGGAGAAAACACUUUUUAGAAGUGAAAACUAUUCGCAUUUUUUCAAUCGCAACGUGAAAACCCAAGUACUCAAGAGAGAGUGACAGAAUGGAACGUCUUCACUAGCCAAUAACUCGCAAACCGCAGAGUGAAAUCGAAUAAUAAUUAUCUCAUUUUAAACUUCAAAAGCAGAUCUUCAAAAUGAAAAAAAAAUCGUUUAAUUCCACUCCACCGAUCUCAAGCUAUCGACGAUUGAAGACCUGUUGUCCCACUCUCCCCUAGUAUUAUUUAAACAAUUUUCACUGGAUCAUCUCUUUACCGUUCUUCUCUCCUCUUUUCUAUUCUCGAUUUUGCGAACAUAUCGUUACUGUUGUCCAAAUGUACAGUCAAUUAGCAUAACGUUAUGGCUGUGUGGCCACUUACCCAAGAGAUUAUGCAAAAAGAAGAACCAACACAUUAUCCCAAGUGAAUGAAGGCGUAAGGAGUGGCGCGUAAAAGUAACGAUCUUCUUCCUUUGCUUUCACAUUAGCAUAAAUAUUUGGUUUCCGUUAUGAUUCUUUUCAUUAGUGUUAAAAAACUCAGACUAAUCAUUUAUCUUAACCGUCAAUAAACUUUUAUUUCAUUCUAAUGAGUACUUCAGAAUAAUUUCCACUCCUCCAAAGACUCGAGAUUAUUUAGCAAUAAAAUUAGUUUAUUGCUGUUAACCACAGUACUAAUUCACACAAAAAUCAUGAAAAUUGUUGAAAGAAUUUAACGGCUGAUAAAUCCAACAAAA